UACAGAGGUCCCGAGCGUUGUUCGGAUUCAUUGGGCGUAAAGGGUGCGUAGGCGGCGGGGUAAGUUUGAUGUGAAAUCCCGGGGCUCAACCCUGGAAUUGCAUUGAAUACUACCUUGCUAGAGUACCGGAGAGGAAACUGGAAUUUACGGUGUAGCAGUGAAAUGCGUAGAGAUCGUAAGGAAGACCAGUGGCGAAGGCGAGUUUCUGGACGGUAACUGACGCUGAGGCACGAAGGCCAGGGGAGCAAACGAG
rnacentral:rRNA from 1 species